rnacentral:sRNA from 1 species
GAAAGUAAUGAAGAUGUUCUUUAGAGGCCUUUUAAGAUUAAUUUAACUGAUUGAUUCAGCUAGGCAAUUAUCCACCUCCUUCUUUACAACUCCACUGUCUCCCUUUUGAAGCUGUUUACUUGGUAGGAAGAAUGACCUUCCAAGUAGGCUGUCACUGUUUUGUGGUCAAGGGUGUAUAAGUAGCUGCAUUCCCCUCUUAGAAAAUCAAAAGGAUUCAAAAACUCUCGCCAUCCACUUGUAGGAGGAAGGCUUUAUUAUAGCACCUUGUCAGUAUUUGGGAUAAAGUGUUCUAAAUAACU